rnacentral:tRNA from 1 species
GCAGAAGUACCCAAGAGGCUCAAGGGGCUCCCCUGCUAAGGGAGUAGACGUGUUAUAGCGUGCACGAGUUCGAAUCUCGUCUUCUGCGCCA